rnacentral:rRNA from 1 species
UGUUCCUACGGGAGGCAGCAGUGGGGAAUAUUGGGCAAUGGGCGCAAGCCUGACCCAGCAAUGCCGCGUGAAGGAAGAAGGCCUUCGGGUUGUAAACUUCUUUUAUCAGGGACGAAGGAUGUGACGGUACCUGAUGAAUAAGCUCCGGCUAACUACGUGCCAGCAGCCGCGGUAAUACGUAGGUGGCAAGCGUUGUCCGGAUUUACUGGGUGUAAAGGGCGUGUAGCCGGGCCGGCAAGUCAGAUGUGAAAUCCCAAGGCUCAGCCUUGGAACUGCAUUUGAAACUGUUGGUCUUGAGUAUCGGA